UGGGGAAUAUUGGGCAAUGGACGCAAGUCUGACCCAGCAACGCCGCGUGAAGGAAGAAGGCUUUCGGGUUGUAAACUUCUUUUAAGAGGGAAGAGUAGAAGACGGUACCUCUUGAAUAAGCCACGGCUAACUACGUGCCAGCAGCCGCGGUAAUACGUAGGUGGCAAGCGUUGUCCGGAUUUACUGGGUGUAAAGGGCGUGUAGCCGGGUCUUUAAGUCAGAUGUGAAAUCCACGGGCUCAACUCGUGAACUGCAUUUGAAACUGAGGAUCUUGAGUGCCGGAGAGGUCAUCGGAAUUCCUAGUGUAGCGGUGAAAUGCGUAGAUAUUAGGAAGAACACCAGUGGCGAAGGCGGAUGACUGGACGGUAACUGACGGUGAGGCGCGAAAGCGUGGGGAGCAAACAGG
rnacentral:rRNA from 2 species